AUUGUCCAAAAAACGUCCACUUCAGGACCUUUUUAGGACAUUUAGUUUUAUGUUAGAAGAGACCAUGAAAUUGAAAUUUUUACAAUUAUUUCGGUUGAUGAACGAAAAUUUAGAGGCUAUACUUCAUGUGAGGUCGUUAUUAUGCCAUCGAGCUCGAUUUUGAUAUUUUUUCUUUUUAAGUGGAGUUAAACUCUGAGCAACUGGUCUUGAUGCCUUAAUUACGACUGUGUUUGAUUGAACCAUUUUUUUGCAACUUGUAUUGUUUUGAGUACCCGCGAGCGAUAACAGUUGUGGGAGAGUGAACCAGCGAGGUAUCUCACGAUGUCGGCGACCAAGCCACCCCCUUUACUUUCCUUGGGGCCACAUUGGCACUUUUGAUUUGAAAAGUCAAGCCAAGCCAGUCCAAGCCAAGCGCAGCUUUGAAGAAAAACAUGGCAGCGGACAGCGGUGUCUCUUAUGGGCUCUCGCUGUUCUCUGUUUUCGGAUGAAGACAUUUCAAGUGGUGAAGACUCCUGGCUUUAUCACGCUACUUUCAACCUUUCUUGUCAGUGUGAGAUGCGCCAUUAUUAAUCAAAAUUAAUAAAAUAGGUUUGUGUGCAUCGCUA